GAAAUUUAAGUGACUUGGCUAAAGUUACCCAGGAGUAAGUACCAGAUCUAAAACAGAGCCCAAAUAAACUAAAAUAAAACUCAGCCCUUGCCUAAGUCAGAUAUCUUGAGUUCUGUGGCAUUCUUCAGAGGCAGCCAUUCCAGGGCACAAGCAUUUUAGGAAAAAAUAGAAGUUCCCUGGGAGAAGUUUAAUACUAGAAGCAAGGAAUGCUUACCCCGAAAUGGUACAUACUAGAAACAGGAAGGCAUUGGAGGAUAAGUGGCCUUGAUGGCAAAAAGAGUUCCAUGCCCCCACCGGGUACCUGUGAGUGAGGCGUAGGGGAAAGACAAGGAGGAUUGGAGGGGACUCAGGCUCAGCCCCAGCCCCAGCCCCAGCAAACCAGGGAGGCAAAGGGGAACCAGGCGGCUUGGCUCUAGGGAUCUGGCAGCUUGCUGAGUGUGAGACAGGCCCAGACACAACUAUCUUGUGAAACUUCCCUCUUCAACACCUGCUUAUCAGGUGGGCAAAGAAUAGCUGGCCAUUUCCAUCCCUAGAUUGCUCCACAGGCUCCUGGCAGGCAAACAGUCUGUCAUUUAAUUUUUAAAUUGCAACUAGUCACAAUCCCAAUUUUUUUCAAAAUAGAGCUCUUGAAUUUAUUCCUCCAACUGAAAUUUUGUACCCUUUGAUCAACUCUAACCCAAUUAAUUUAUCUGCAAUGUGCUCAAAGAACAAUAAAAAACACGAAGGAACACUCAAAGCUUUUUCACAUUUUACUACAGAGGUAUUUGAUAGACAUAUUUAUUAUUAGUUAAUAUGUAAACUUGUAAACUGCUAAUUCAUAUCCUACUUGUACAAAAUCAUUUUACAAAAACUCUUUAAAAACUAAUAGAGAAUGUAUUCUCU
rnacentral:lncRNA from 1 species